UCCGUAGGCGGCCAUGUAAGUGGAAGGUGAAAUCUUUCGGCUUAACCGAAAAACUGCCUUUUAAACUGUAUGGCUUGAGGAUGGAAGAGGAGAGCGGAACUGUCAGUGUAAAGGUGAAAUUUGUGGAUAUUGACAGGAACGCCCGUGGAGAAGUCGGCUCUCUGGUCCAUAUCUGACGCUGAGGGACGAAAGCUAGAGUAGCAAAUA
rnacentral:rRNA from 1 species